rnacentral:rRNA from 1 species
GACAGAGGUCCCGAGCGUUGUUCGGAUUCAUUGGGCGUAAAGCGCGCGUAGGCGGACCUGCAAGUCGGGGGUGAAAGCCCGAGGCUCAACCUCGGAACUGCCUUCGAUACUGCGGGUCUCGAGUCCGGGAGAGGUGAGUGGAAUUCCUAGUGUAGAGGUGAAAUUCGUAGAUAUUAGGAAGAACACCAGUGGCGAAGGCGGCUCACUGGCCCGGUACUGACGCUGAGGCGCGAAAGCGUGGGGAGCAAACAGG